GACGAACCGUGCGAACGUUGUUCGGAAUCACUGGGCUUAAAGGGCGCGUAGGCGGGAGACCAAGUCAGGGGUGAAAUCUUUCGGCCCAACCGGAGAAGUGCCUCUGAUACUGGUCGGCUUGAGGGAGGUAGGGGUCGAGGGAACUGGUGGUGGAGCGGUGAAAUGCGUAGAUAUCACUAGGAACGCCGGUGGCGAAAGCGCUCGACUGGACCUCUUCUGACGCUGAGGCGCGAAAGCCAGGGGAGCAAACGGG
rnacentral:rRNA from 1 species